rnacentral:rRNA from 1 species
CCUACGGGGGGCUGCAGUGAGGAAUAUUGCGCAAUGGGGGAAACCCUGACGCAGCGACGCCGCGUGAGUGAUGAAGGCCUUCGGGUUGUAAAGCUCUGUCAGAGGGAAAGAAAGGGUAGACGGCUAAUACCCGUCUACAUUGACGGUACCCUCAGAGGAAGCACCGGCUAACUCCGUGCCAGCAGCCGCGGUAAUACGGAGGGUGCUAGUGUUAUUCGGAAUCACUGGGCGUAAAGAGCACGUAGGCGGAUAGGUAAGUCAGAUGUGAAAUCCCGGAGCUCAACUUCGGAACUGCAUUUGAUACUGCCUGUCUUGAGUGUGGUAGAGGGGGAUGGAAUUCCCGGUGUAGAGGUGAAAUUCGUAGAUAUCGGGAGGAACACCAGAGGCGAAGGCGAUCCCCUGGGCCACUACUGACGCUGAGGUGCGAAAGCGUGGGGAGCAAACAGGAUUAGAUACCCCGGUAGUC